rnacentral:rRNA from 1 species
AGUGAACGCUGGCGGUAGGCCUAACACAUGCAAGUCGAACGGCAGCACAGUAAGAGCUUGCUCUUACGGGUGGCGAGUGGCGGACGGGUGAGGAAUACAUCGGAAUCUACUUUUUCGUGGGGGAUAACGUAGGGAAACUUACGCUAAUACCGCAUACGACCUACGGGUGAAAGCAGGGGAUCUUCGGACCUUGCGCGAUUGAAUGAGCCGAUGUCGGAUUAGCUAGUUGGUGGGGUAAAGGCCCACCAAGGCGACGAUCCGUAGCUGGUCUGAGAGGAUGAUCAGCCACACUGGAACUGAGACACGGUCCAGACUCCUACGGGAGGCAGCAGUGGGGAAUAUUGGACAAUGGGCGCAAGCCUGAUCCAGCCAUACCGCGUGGGUGAAGAGGGCCUUCGGGUUGUAAAGCCCUUUUGUUGGGAAAGAAAAGCAGCAGGUUAAUACCCCGCUGUUCUGACGGUACCCAAAGAAUAAGCACCGGCUAACUUCGUG